AUUGAACGCUGGCGGCAGGCUUAACACAUGCAAGUCGAACGAGUGGCGGACGGGUGAGUAAUGCUUGGGAAUCUGGCUUAUGGAGGGGGAUAACGACGGGAAACUGUCGCUAAUACCGCGUACCAUAGGAUGAGCCCAAGUGGGAUUCGGUAGUUGGUGGGGUAAUGGCAUACCAAGCCGACGAUCUCUAGCUGGUCUGAGAGGAUGACCAGCCACAUCGGGACGGAGACAAGGCCCGGACUCCUCCGGGAGGCAGCAGUGGGGAAUAUUGCGCAAUGGGUGCAACCUGACGCAGCCAUGCCGCGGGAAUGACGAAGGCCUUCGGGUUGCAAAGUUAUUUCGGUGACGAGGCGUUAAUCACAGAAGAAGCACAGGCCAACUCCGCGCCAGCAGCCGCGGUAAUUC
rnacentral:rRNA from 1 species